UGGCCCGAGGCAGGCAGGGUAUAAAGGCGCUGGCGGGCGGCGGAGGUGCCAGUCCGCUGAGGGUGAGCGCGGAGGAGCGUGUGUAGCUGGAGCCAUGGCUCGGGGUCUCAGCGUGUUGGUGCUUGUGCUGCUCGGACUCGCCGGCCUGGAGGCGAUCGAAACUGCCCCCAAAGUACAUGUGUACUCCCGCCACCCAGCGGAGAAUGGCAAGCAGAACGUCCUGAUGUGCUUUGUGGAGGGGUUCCAGCCUCCAAACAUUCAGGUCACCUUGCUGAAGAAUGGUGAGAAGAUGGAUAACGUGGAAAUGUCCGACCUUUCCUUCCGCGAAGACUGGAGUUUCCAGCGCCUGGUGCAUGUCCCAUUCACUCCUAAUGGGAAAGAUGCAUAUGUAUGCAGAGUGGAGCAUAUCGCCCUUGACAGUCCCAAGAACAUCAAAUGGGGUGAGUAUUUCACUACUUCCAUCUUGUUCACUUCAUCCCUCAGCAAUUGUAGACUGGAUUUGGAUUCUGUUGCUACUGAGAUCCUGCACUCUGCCAGAGAAUGCAGCUUGUCUGCUUAGUCACAAGUCCAGUGUCUUUUUUUCUUUUAAGCGUAAUAUAAUAGGGUGAGUUCCUGAUUUCUUGUUUCUAGACACCUUUUGACCUUUUCCUAGGCUCCAGUGAAAUAAAUUGUCUCUAACUGCCAAAGGGAACAUAGAAUCAUGGAAUGUCAGGGUUGGAAGGGACCUCAGGAGGUCAUCUAGUCCAACCCCCUGCUCAAAGCAGGACCAAUCCCCAACUAAACUAAAUCCCCAUGUAAAUUAAUACACUGCAUUGGAACAUCUGAUAGUAAUGGAAAGAGGGAGAGACUAAUUUCUGGAAUAUUGGACAUGCUGUAGAUCAGGCCAGGCUAUAUCUACGCUGCAGACCUACGGCACAGCUGUACCGCUACAGCCGUGCUACUGUAAGGUCUCCCAUGUAGCCACUCUUUGCUGGCAGGAGAGAGCUCUCCUGCUGGCAUAAUUAAGCUACCCCCAACGAGCGGUGUUAGCUGUGUUGGCAGGAGAGGCUCUCCUGCUGACAAUAGCACUGUGUGCACCAGCAGUUUUGUUGGUAAAACUUAAGUUGGUCCAGGGGUGUUCUUUUCACACCGCUCAUCGACAAAAGUGCUGGCGUAGACAUAGCCUCAGUUAGCAGAGCUCUGGGGAAGGUAUGCACAACCCCUGCCUGCCCGCUCGGUACCUGGCUUGAAUGUUAUCAUAGUGUCUUAAUGGUAUCUUAAUCCCUUAUGGGCAUCUCGAAAUAAAAAUUACCUGAACAGAUAUGUCAGAUGUAACUUUUAUAUAACUUGCCUGUUGAAAAAGGGUAAGUGAGAAGAUAAAAAGAUGUAUUUUAUUAAAAGAGCAGUUUUUGUCAGAGAAACCAUUUUCAAGCCCAGCCUGGUCUCUUACUUUGCUCCGCAGGCUUUUCUCUGUCUUUUUUUUUUUUUUUUUAUUUGAUACAUAAUCACCAACAAUAAAAGAUCCAGGACUUUGAAUUUGUCUGGCAUCACAAGCAUGACAGGGUGGAACGGAAUCCAGUUGACUUCUGCUUGCUGGGAGGAGGAAACCCAAUUAGUUUUGGUAAACUAAGCAAAGAUGCUUAGAACAACUGGCAAGAGGAUGAGGGGUGUGGGGUCCGUUUCUUUUCUGGCCCAGUCCAUAGUCCCUUAGCAUGAGCAGUGGUGGCUUAUCACAGGGCAUCUGUCUGGCUGCUAGAGUGAUAGAACUCUCCUAGCUCUGCAUUAGAAUUGUUGUGAUUGAUGGGAGGGUUAUUUGUGCAGCACAGCCAUGUCUUGGAAGUGAAGUCUAACAUCCUGUUGUCCUCUUUUUUGCAGACCCAGAUAAUUAACCUGCAUCUUAGACACAUAUGGUCUGAAGAACUUCUGCCUUGCAAUCUGAAAUCAGCUUAAACCCUAACCCAUUUUCCUCUGUGCUCUUCACACCCCACACUCAUUUUGUGUUGGAGCUGAAUGUAUAGCUUUAAACUAAUGCUAAAUAAUUUGUUUGGGGGUGGGAUGUUGGAUGUGGGGGUGGUCUUUUGAAAUUAAAAUCUUGCUAGUGUGAAAUGUUAGAUUUGAGCCUGGGGCCCUCAUCUGUGUAUGGCAGUGUGACAUUAGAGCUGGCCUCACACCAAAAUUAUCGAUGCGCUGUCUGCUUAGGUGGAAAACUUGGGUAAUCUGGUGGUGGACAUGUUAUAGAAUCAUUAUAGAUCUUAUGCAAAGAUAAGCCAAACUUGUAUUGGUCAGUCUGGCAGGUGUGCUACUGCUAUUUAAACUGGCACUUGUAAAGUAAAUCCUAAACACGUCUCAGGGUCUUUUAAGACCCAUGGAUCCUUCUUCUAAUCCAGCCAUGCUGUGCUCAUGGUAUUGAGAGAGAGAAUUUGCACUGCAAAUUUGGAAGAUUUUUGUCUUUCCAGUAGCUCCAGAACAUAAGAGCUAUAACAAGGUCCCAGUACAGCAGGGAUGGGGACAGCAUUGAGGGCUACCAGGGCCUGAGUGCAACACAUGUUGCCAAGCCCUUUGGGGUGAGCAAUAGUAGAGCUUUCAAGAACAGCUCUUGGCUACAGCAUUUCUUACUAUAAAUGCCAAUCAAUUAAAAUAGUCAGUUAAAGCAAUAAAUCCAUGUGUGCAAGUCUGUUAAACAUUUUUGGACAAUCUAUAUAGAUCUGUUUUACUAAUUAAAAGGAGAGUGUAACACUUUGUAUGGUUCUUAAUUGUACAGAAUGACGUUUUGUCUUAAAUAUAUCUUUUAAAAAAAAAACCAAAACCCUGUGGAAGUUGUGAUUUCUUAAGUUGGAGAGGACAUUUCUUGCCUUGCAUUGGGUUCAUCAAGGCAUGCGAUAUGUCUGUCAAUGAAUUAGUCUCCCUGCUGUAAGAGCAGCUGCUCAAAUCUUUUGUUUUCCACUUUCUGAUAAAAGUAAAAGGAGAUUGUGUUCUUGAUCCAUAUGAUCAUUGACUUCUCAGCUUUGUCUUCAAGUCCUGCACAGCUCUGCUCCCAACAAUCCUUUGCUUUCUCCU